rnacentral:rRNA from 1 species
GGUGGACGCUGGCGGUAGGCCUAACACAUGCAAGUCGAACGGCAGCACAGUAAGAGCUUGCUCUUACGGGUGGCGAGUGGCGGACGGGUGAGGAAUACAUCGGAAUCUACUUUUUCGUGGGGGAUAACGUAGGGAAACUUACGCUAAUACCGCAUACGACCUACGGGUGAAAGCAGGGGAUCUUCGGACCUUGCGCGAUUGAAUGAGCCGAUGUCGGAUUAGCUAGUUGGCGGGGUAAAGGCCCACCAAGGCGACGAUCCGUAGCUGGUCUGAGAGGAUGAUCAGCCACACUGGAACUUGGACACGGUCCAGACGCCUACGGGAGGCAGCAGUGGGGAAUAUUGGACAAAGGGCGCAAGCCUGAUCCAGCCAUACCGCGUGGGUGAAGAAGGCCUUCGGGUUGUAAAGCCCUUUUGUUGGGAAAGAAAAGCAGCAGGUUAAUACCCCGCUGUUCUGACGGUACCCAAAGAAUAAGCACCGGCUAACUUCGUG